rnacentral:rRNA from 1 species
AACGCGAAGAACCUUACCUGGGUUUGACAUGCGCAGGACGCCAGUAGAGAUAUUGGUUCCCUUGUGGCCUGUGUGCAGGUGGUGCAUGGCUGUCGUCAGCUCGUGUCGUGAGAUGUUGGGUUAAGUCCCGCAACGAGCGCAACCCUUGUCUCAUGUUGCCAGCGCGUUAUGGCGGGGACUCGUGAGAGACUGCCGGGGUCAACUCGGAGGAAGGUGGGGAUGACGUCAAGUCAUCAUGCCCCUUAUGUCCAGGGCUUCACACAUGCUACAAUGGCCGGUACAAAGGGCUGCGAUGCCGUGAGGUUAAGCGAAUCCUUUAAAGCCGGUCUCAGUUCGGAUCGGGGUCUGCAACUCGACCCCGUGAAGUCGGAGUCGCUAGUAAUCGCAGAUCAGCAACGCUGCGGUGAAUACGUUCCCGGGCCUUGUA